UAGAUAUUCCUCCGUCCGGAAAUAUUUGUCAUAGAAAUGGAUGUACCUAGAUGUAUUUUAGUUCUAGAUACAUCCAUUUUCAUCCAUUUUGAUGACAAGUAAUUCCGGACGGAGGGAGUACAUA
rnacentral:pre_miRNA from 1 species